rnacentral:rRNA from 1 species
UGUCUACGCCACACCACCCUGUAAGCGCCCAAUCUCGUCUGACCUUGGAAGCUAAGCAGGGCCGGGCCUGGUUGGUACUUCGAUGAGAGACGGAAAGUGCUCAGUCAGUACAUGC